rnacentral:rRNA from 1 species
AGGGCACCACCAGGAGUGGAGCCUGCGGCUUAAUUUGACUCAACACGGGGAAACUUACCCGGCCUGGACACUGGAAGGAUUGACAGACUGAGAGCUCUUUCUUGAUUCAGUGGGUGGUGGUGCAUGGCCGUUCUUAGUUGGUGGAGCGAUUUGUCUGGUUAAUUCCGAUAACGAACGAGACUCUAGCCUAUUAAAUAGGCUCCCGGCUUUUAAACGCCGGGAGGACUUCUUAGAGGGACAGGUGGCGGUUCAGCCGCACGAAAGAGAGCAAUAACAGGUCUGUGAUGCCCUUUGUUGUCCGGGGCCGCACGCGCGCUACACUGAAGAGAUCAGCGUGCUUUAUGUUCCUGCUCCGACCGGAGUGGGGAACCCAGUGAACCUUCUUCGUGAUUGGGAUAGAAGAUUGUAAUUAUUCUUCUUGAACGAGGAAUUCCCAGUAAAUGCGAGUCAUAAGCUCGCGUUGAUUAUGUCCCUGCCCUUUGUACACACCGCCCGUCGCUACUACCGAUUGAACGAUUU